AAUCAACGCUGGCGGCGUGCCUAACACAUGCAAGUCGUGCGCGAAAGGGGCUUCGGCCCUGAGUAGAGCGGCAAACGGGUGAGUAACGCGUGGGUGACCUACCCUUGAGUGGGGGAUAACAGUCCGAAAGGAUUGCUAAUACCGCAUGACAUCCUGUUCUUGAACGGAUGGAGAUCAAAGCCGGGGAUCGCAAGACCUGGCGCUCGAGGAGGGGCUCGCGUUCGAUUAGCUAGUUGGUGGGGUAAUGGCUCACCAAGGCGACGAUCGAUAGUCGGCCUGAGAGGGCGGACGGCCACACUGGGACUGAGACACGGCCCAGACUCCUACGGGAGGCAGCAGUGGGGAAUUGUUCGCAAUGGGCGCAAGCCUGACGACGCAAUGCCGCGUGGAGGAUGAAGAUCUUCGGGUCGUAAACUCCUGUCGACCGGGACGAAAUUUCCGGGAGCUAACAUCUCCCGGGAUUGACGGUACCGGUGGAGGAAGCCCCGGCUAACUCCGUGCCAGC
rnacentral:rRNA from 1 species